AUCCAACAACCUAUAACUAUAACCUCCACGACAUCUCAAAUCAAAGUUCCUUUAUAUUGCAAGGCCCAAAACCCUUUUUUCUUUCCUACUUAUGCCACCAUCAACAUCCACCCUUUAAGACACCUGCUCAUCUGCAAGACAGUGGUCUAGGCGCAAGCCAAGCAUGUUACCCAUGACAUUGGUUUGGACUGAGCUUGGGCCAAGUGCUUAAGAAUAUG
rnacentral:lncRNA from 1 species